UACGGAGGGGGCUAGCGUUGUUCGGAAUUACUGGGCGUAAAGCGCGCGUAGGCGGCUUUGUAAGUUAGAGGUGAAAGCCCGGAGCUUAACUCCGGAACUGCCUUUAAGACUGCAUCGCUAGAAUCGUGGAGAGGUGAGUGGAAUUCCGAGUGUAGAGGUGAAAUUCGUAGAUAUCUGGAGGAACACCGGUGGCGAAGGCGGCAUCCUGGACCGGCAUUGACGCUGAGGCGCGAAAGCCAGGGGAGCAAACGGG
rnacentral:rRNA from 1 species